GCUGGGCAUGGUGACACAUGCCUGUAAUCCCAGCAGCUUGGGAGGCUGAGAUAGGAGGAUCACAAGUUUAAAGCCAGCCUCAGCAAAAGCAAGGCACUAAGCAACUCAGUGAGAUCCUGUCUCUA
rnacentral:sRNA from 1 species